GCCGACGUAGCUCAAAGGUAGAGCAACGGUUUUGUAAACCGUGGGUUGGAGGUUCGAUUCCUCUCGUCGGCU
rnacentral:tRNA from 1 species